GCUGAAAUAGCUCAGUUGGAAGGGCGUUAGAGUGAAGAUCUAAAGGUCCCUGGUUCAAUCCAAGGUUUAGGCA
rfam:Lepisosteus oculatus linkage group LG5, whole genome shotgun sequence.